AACGAACGCUGGCGGCAUGCCUAACACAUGCAAGUCGAACGAGACCUUCGGGUCUAGUGGCGCCCGGGUGCGUAACGCGUGGGAACCUGCCCUUAGGUUCGGAAUAACUCCCCGAAAGGGGUGCUAAUACCGGAUAAUGUCUUCGGACCAAAGAUUUAUCGCCUUUGGAUGAUCCCGCGUUGGAUUAGCUAGUUGGUAGGGUAAAAGCCUACCAAGGCGACGAUCCAUAGCUGGUCUGAGAGGAUGAUCAGCCACACUGGGACUGAGACACGGCCCAGAAUCCUACGGGAGGCAGCAGUGGGGAAUAUUGGACAAUGGGCGAAAGCCUGAUCCAGCAAGGCCGCGUGAGUGAUGAAGGCAUUAGGGUUGUAAAGCUCUUUUAACCGGGAUGAUAAUGACAGUACCGGGAGAAUAAGCUCCGGCUAACUCCGUG
rnacentral:rRNA from 1 species